rnacentral:rRNA from 1 species
UACGUAGGGUGCAAGCGUUAUCCGGAAUUAUUGGGCGUAAAGAGCUCGUAGGCGGUUUGUCGCGUCUGCUGUGAAAUCUUGAGGCUCAACCUCGAGGCUGCUCCCGAAACUGUUCGCCUAGGGACUGGUAGAGGGCUGGUAGAAUUCCCGGUGUAGCGGUGGAAUGCGUAGAGAUCGGGAAGAAUACCCGUGGCGAAGGCGGCCAGCUGGGCCAGGUCCGACACUGAGGCGCGAAAGCGUGGGGAGCAAACAGG